rnacentral:rRNA from 1 species
UGGGGAAUUUUGGGCAAUGGGCGCAAGCCUGAUCCAGCCAUGCCGCGUGUCUGAAGAAGGCCUUCGGGUUGUAAAGGACUUUUGUCAGGGAAGAAAAGGAUAGGGUUAAUACCCCUGUCUGAUGACGGUACCUGAAGAAUAAGCACCGGCUAACUACGUGCCAGCAGCCGCGGUAAUAUGUAGGGUGCGAGCGUUAAUCGGAAUUACUGGGCGUAAAGCGGGCGCAGACGGUUACUUAAGCAGGAUGUGAAAUCCCCGGGCUCAACCUGGGAACUGCGUUCUGAACUGGGUGACUAGAGUGUGUCAGAGGGAGGUAGAAUUCCACGUGUAGCAGUGAAAUGCGUAGAGAUGUGGAGGAAUACCGAUGGCGAAGGCAGCCUCCUGGGAUAACACUGACGUUCAUGCCCGAAAGCGUGGGUAGCAAACAGGAUUAGAUACCCUGGUAGUCCACGCCCUAAACGAUGUCGAUUAGCUGUUGGGCAGCUUGACUGCUUAGUAGCGAAGCUAACGCGUGAAAUCGACCGCCUGGGGAGUACGGUCGCAAGAUUA